CCCUCUGGGGUGCAGCAGAGUAUCCGAUCAAUUACUGUAAAUAUGAUUUCGCUCAAACGGCAUUUGUCGCGGAGCAUUCAAAAGUGACAGGAUGGCAUAAUCAUAUCUUCCGCAGGAUGCCGAUUCCCCUGCUUAAACUCGCCGGUUCGAUACUGUACCGGCAUGUGGGUUGAUAGGAAAGAACCGGAAUUAGAUCUCCAUGAACAUUUAUCGCAAUAAUAUCUAUUAUUUUCUAAAACCGAUCAUCCCGAGAAAAGUACAGAUCUGUGCGCGGAGACUGCUCAUUCAAUACCAGCUCGUGAAAUACAGGAACAUCUGGCCGAUCGAUGAAAAGGCGGGGAGAGAACCGUCAGGAUGGCGGGGGGGC
rnacentral:rRNA from 1 species